UACCGGCCUGCGCCGAUUCGUUCGUUUCUUCCUCACCUUGGUCGUACUCCUCUUGCCGUUCACCGAUCCGCGUUAGCCGUGCUCCCGCUCUGUCUGUCUGUCUCUCUCACUUUCUCGGUCUCGCGCACCCACAACAACGGCAAAACCGGCCCCCACCUUACAGGUCCGUUGCGUCACUUCCCGCAUCCCCCCCGCCCACCACCCGGGGUGGUCAGUGGCGUCAUUUCCGUCUCCCUCACUUUCCAGUCGAUGGCGAUGGCAAAGUGCGAGGCGUGAAGGGCUGCGAGGCAGCGCCCGGCGAGAGACCAAACCAAAAAAAACCAGCAGAUGCUGGAACACGAGGUAGACAGCUAGGAGGCUGGAGAAGCACGCCAAACCAGAAAGGAUAUCGAAGAGGAGAUGGUGCACAGAAGGAAUUUACUAGAGUGACGCCAGAAUUGAAAGGCUACACUUAUCAAGAAAGUAUGAACAAACUGGGACUCUAAAUAAAAGAAACCUUGGAGAACUGGCGAGGAGACUGAGCUAAAGAAAGAAGGAGAACACACCCCCUAUACAUCAAUGGAACUGAGGUUGAGAGAGUGAAGAGCAUCAAGUUCCUCGAAGUGACGAUUACCAACGACCUGGUCCUGGACGUCCCAUGUAAAUGUGACAGUCAAGAAGGCAGAACAAUGUCUCUUCUUCCUCAGGCAGCUCAGGAAAUUUGGCAUGUCUAUAAGGCCCUUCGCCAGCUUCUCCAGAUGCACCAUUGAAAGCAAACUGGGUGCAUAACAGCCUGGUAUGGCAACUGCUGUGAGCAGGACCAUAAGAAACUACAGAAGGUGGUGUGCACAGGCUAGACAAUUAUGGAAGCCAACCUUCUGUCCAUGGACUCUACUUACAUGGCUCACUGCAGCGGAAAAGUGGCUAACAUCAUCAAAGACCCAUAGCACAAACUCUUCCGUCAGUUCGAAGAUACAGAAGCCCUAAUGUGUGCACAUACAACUUCUUUCGGCCAUUAUCAGACUGUUGAAUGGACUCUAGCCUCAAAUAAUGUAACCUGCAAUGUUACUUGUAUGCUUCUCAGCCUUUUGGAUCUGUACAUGCUUUGCUUGCUGUGAUCUGCCUGUACCACUCGUCAACAAAUC